GAUCAUGGCUCAGGAUGAACGCUGGCGGCGUGCCUAACACAUGCAAGUCGAACGAAGCACUUAAAUUUGAUUCUUCGGAUGAAGAUUUUUGUGACUGAGUGGCGGACGGGUGAGUAACGCGUGGGUAACCUGCCUCAUACAGGGGGAUAACAGUUAGAAAUGACUGCUAAUACCGCAUAAGCGCACAGGGUCGCAUGACCUGGUGUGAAAAACUCCGGUGGUAUGAGAUGGACCCG
rnacentral:rRNA from 1 species